GAUGAACGCUAGCGGGAGGCUUAAUACAUGCAAGUCGAGCGGUAGGUUUAGCUUCGGUUGAACUGAGAGCGGCGCACGGGUGAGUAACGCGUACGCAACUUACCCCUGAUUGGGGGAAUAGCCCCGGGAAACUGGGAUUAAUGCCCCAUGGUUUUGUUGGCAGGCAUCUGCUGACAAAUAAAGCUGAGGCGAUCAGGGAUAGGCGUGCGUCUGAUUAGCUAGUUGGUAGGGUAACGGCCUACCAAGGCAACGAUCAGUAGGGGGCGUGAGAGCGUGACCCCCCACACGGGUACUGAGACACGGACCCGACUCCUACGGGAGGCAG
rnacentral:rRNA from 1 species